UUAACUGAGUUUUGUUGGUAUUGUUUCGGUGGGUGAUUGAGUUUUGUUGAAAUUGCUAUGUUAUUGAUUUUUUUUAAGUAUUGUUUCGGGCACACACUUCUUGAUCAAGUCUAAGGUUUGUCGAAUUAUUUGAUGUUUGCGAUCCAUCUUUUGUCAGAUUGAAGAACGCAAAACCUAUUAGUAAGUUCAUUUACGCUCUGAUUGGAUUGAAGAACGCAAUAAGUAUAUUCAUUUACUCUUCUGUUGGAUUCUUCUGUUGGAUUGAAGAACGCAAGAAUGAUUAGUAAAUUCAUUUACACCAAUUCCGAAUGUGAUUCUUUAUGUGAUGAAGGUGAGUUUUGAAUCUUUUAAUCAAAUUCCUUUAUCCCUUUUCUGCUGGUGGCUGGGUCUUGAGAUUUGUUUUGUCCAUGGAUGAAAUGAAAAACAUAAUAGUUUGGAAAGGCCAAUUGAUCCAAGUCUUCUUAUAGUCUUUAUCUGCAUCUUCAUCUUCGUAACGUUUCUAAACUUCUUCCUUUUAUUAUGAGCUUAGUUCGUUUUCUUGAAUUUUUGCCUGCACAGGAUAGUUCAUUUUCUUGAAUUUUUGGCUGUAGGACAUGAUGUGAAGUAUUAUGUUUUUGGCUGCAGGAUAGCUCUAUUUACUUCUUUUGGGUUGGGGUCUCACGAUUUGUGAUAGGAUAUGGAAGCAGUACUGUAUCUUAUUGUUAACAAUAUUUCUUAAUCUUAGUCCUUGCUGAUUUUGCUCUUUAUUAUUUAAUGUUUUUGGAUUUACCUAACUGUGAACUUGUUUCUCUACAAUAGUAUUUCAAAGUGUUUUUUGUAAUCUUCGUGCCCUUGGUUUUAAAUAUGUGGCUUCCCUUGAUUUUUGGAUUUAUGAAUUUACCUUAUUGUUUCUUUACUUUGUCAUGUCAUCUUUUUUAGAAGAUUAGUUUUCUCAAAUCACCAUGUAUCUUCUUGAGCUUUUACAUGAGCAUCAGGUUUUGGAAACAGUGGAUGGAGAUAGAGUUAAACUUUAGGUUUUAUUAUCUUUGCAUUCAUUAUGCUGAUAAAAAAAAUCUUUGCAUUCAUUAUUUUCUUUGUUAUUGGACUUACUCUGUAGUUUUAUUAUGUUUCCAUCCACUAUUUUUCUUAUGUGCUCGAUUUGGAAUGUCUACAAUCUCUUUUAUUGGUUGGAUAGUUGUAAGGUACCUGUAUUUGUCAUUGUCUAAGCAAGAGCUAUAAACCUCUCUUCAUGAGAGGCAUUAUAAACCUCUAUGUCAGCGAUUUUAUUUCCUCUUUCUAUUCCACACUCAGACAUUUCUCUCAGCAAUGAAGUCAUUUAAUCACAGCCUUUCGUUUCGUUUCCUUUCAUUUCCUUUGUUGUCAAAACAACCUUUGGGUCUUUCUUGCUUCUUGACUAUGGUAUUUAGUUUCACUAUGUUCUCAGGACGUGUUAUUUGGAAGUGAUGUGGUUAUUUAUUCGAGGAUCGAGUUCCAUUCCUUUAGACUUGCAUUUGUUUGUGUUCAUUGCUAUCAAACAACUUUCUUCUUUUUAAGUUUAUAGAGCCCUUUAUUUUUUAAUGAAACCCACUAAAUGUUAUUUAUUUAUUUUUCUUUCUUUUUCAUCAUUUCCUACUUAUUUGUGUUUCUAAUAGGCUUGGGAUGCGUUUUGGGUUUAUAAGAGUAUUAGAGGCACUUGAAUUUGGGGAGGAUUUGUCUUUUACUAUGUGGUUGGUUGUUGAAGCAGUGGCUGUUUUGGGAAUUUUGGUGAUCUUGUACUCCUUACUGAAACGAGACCUCAUCUUAUUGAGUGCUAUAUUUCUCAAUUUUGAGACUCAUUUUAUUGAUUGCUAUAUUUCUCAAUUUUAAUCCCUUGUUGAUCUUGUAUUUUGGGACAGCUAACAUCUUUGCACACUGAAGAUUAAUUUACUCAAUGAUCGAGAAACAAAUUGUAUGUAUUUUAUAUUUAGUGUGCAGUAUAGUGCUAGAACUGUGUGUGAACAGCUCAUGUAACGUACAUGAUCUGGUGAUGUAUCUCUGAUUUUGGGAUCUGUAUUUUUUUCUAUUCAAUUUAUAUUGAGUGUUUAGCGGUUUUCAUGAUACGGUAGUUUUUUCUAUAUGAUAAGUACAUCCAGUUUUAAUUGGAUAUGAUGACAGAGAUCUAUCAUAUGUAACUGUUUAUCUGCUUGUGUUAGUUCCUUUUCAGCAGGAUCCCAGUUGAUGAUUAAAAAACAUAAAGUUCUUGUUUGAUUAUUGAAAUCUAUCCAAUUUAUCUGUUAGAUCUGUGAUUAUGUUGAUUCCUUUCUAGCACAUUAAAGGUUAAUAAUAAUACAAUGCUCAGUGAAGAUGUCUUCCUUUUAUUUGAAACACUUGCCAGGGGAUCUGUGAAGCUUUAGGUUUUGGUACCCUUACAUUUCUUAUAUCUUUAUUUGUGACUGACUAAACUUCUUGAGAAUGAGAAACAACAGUAUUAAAUAUUAAACAACAGUAUUAAAUUAAAAAGGUUUUUCUUACUACAAUUAGUUCUUUCUUCACCACUCCGAUAACUAAUUAAAUAUUUACUUUCAUUAGAAUGUAGAUUAUGUGAAUGAUAUAUUUUAAUGUUGGCUCAUAAAAUAUUUUUAUAGUAAUCAUUAAACAAAUGUUUGGUAUACACUCAUAUUUAUCAUACUUCCUUCAAGUAGAUCUUUAAUAAUUUUUUUUAUCUGAAUGGGUUACUGGAAUUAUUAAUUUUUUUAAAAAAAUAGAAUGAUUUUUCUUUUGUGAUUUUUAAUAGAAGCUUACAUCAGUUAUUAGGGGUCACUGAUAUGUUUUUUCACCCUAUAUUGUCUGGAAAUCUUUUCUAUGUUUUCUAAUUUGAACCAAAGGAUUCCUAAAUCUUUUCCUGAAAAACAUUAUUUUAUGUGCUUUCUUUAUUUAUUUAACCAGUCAUGAUAAAAAGCAAGCAAAGAGUGUAGUGAGCCUGUUUUAACUUUACAGUCAUGCAAUGUUUAUUAGUAGGUUCACAUUCAUAAAUACUUUGAUUUCAGGAAUUCACAAAAUUCAAUUACAAUUCCUAUUUCAGUAAGAUUUUUUUGGUCAAUAAGUUUUUUAACAUCUUUUGUCUUUUAGAAAUUUUUUAAACCAUUUUAUACAUACACUUUAUUAAAUAUAUAGUCCUACAGUGACACUAGUCCUGCUAAAUUAAAGAAAAUUCUAUUUUUGUGUGGAGGGUAAUCCUUAUUCUUAACUUCUUUUAAAAGGACGAAUGUAAAUUGCUGAUAUAUGACUUGUAUGCUUUCACAAUUGAUCUUUGUUUGGAACGAAAUUAUGAAACAACUUACCUUAACCUGCAAUUAAUUUAUAUUUGUUGUGUAACUAUUCACUCCAUAUCCUUCUUGAAGAUAUCUCUUUACUAAAAAUAGUAUAGUUGAUAUAGAGUUAAUUCAUAGUAAAGGUUAACCUUGAUCUCUUUCACCAUAUCAAUUUCAACAUGCAUCCUACCAUUUAAAUUUUCCAAUUUUAUUCUGAAAUUGGUAGGAUAGUGGCCUACCAUGGUGGUGACGGGUGACGAAGAAUUAGGGUUAGAUUCCGGAAAGGGAGCCUGAGAAACGGUACCACAUCCAAGAAAAGCAGCAGACACGCAAAUUGUCCAAUCAUGAUAUGGGGAGGUAGUGACAAUAAAUAACAAUAUCGGUUUCAUUGAGUUUGGUAAUUAGAAUUAGUACAAUCUAACACCCUUAACGAGGAUCGAUAUGAGGGCAAGUCUGGUGCUAGGAGCCACAGUAAUUCCUGCUUCAAUAGCGUAUAGUUAAGUUUUUGUAGUUAAAAAUCUCAUAGUUGGACCUUAUGUAUUUUUUUAAAUGUUUGAACAGUUGGUUUUGUCAUUGCAGGGAGGAGAUGGAUGGGUGGUUCUAGGUUUGGGAAACAUGGAUCAGGACCCUGUGGAAAUUUAGGUUUUAUUCUUUGCAUUUAUUAUUUUCUUUGCUGCUAUUAUUCAGGGAUAAACUUGUGGACUGAGAAUACUUACCUCUUCAUGAGAGGCACUAUAAACCUGUGUCAACGAUUUUAUUUUCUCUUUCUAUUCCACACUCAGAUAUUUUUCUCAGCAACGGAGUCAUUUAAUAACAGUGUUUCGUUUCGUUUCCUUUCAUUUCCUUUGUUGUCAAAACAACCUUUGUGUCUUUCUUACUUCUCGGCUAUGGUAUUUAGUUUCACUACGUUCUCAGGAUGUUUUAUUUGGAAGUGAUGUGGUUAUUUAUUUGUGGAUUGAGUUCCAUUCCUUUAGACUUGCAUUUGUUUGUGUUCAUUGCUAUCAAACAACUUUCUUCUUUUUAAGUUUAUAGAGCCCUUUAUUUUUUAAUGAAACCCACUAAAUGUUAUUUAUUUAUUUUUCUUUCUUUUUCAUCAUUUCCUACUUAUUUGUGUUUCUAAUAGGCUUGGGAUGCGUUUUGGGUUUAUAAGAGUAUUAGAGGCACUUGAAUUUGGGGAGGAUUUGUCUUUUACUAUGUGGUUGGUUGUUGAAUCAGUGGCUGUUUUGGGAAUUUUGGUGAUCUUGUACUCUUUACUGAUACGAGACCUCAUCUUAUUGAUUGCUAUAUUUCUCAAUUUUGAGACCUCAUUUUAUUGAUUGCUAUAUUUCUCAAUUUUAAUCCCAUACUGGUCUUGGAUUUUGGGACAGCUAAUAUCUUUGCACACUGAAGAUUAAUUUACUCGAUGAUCGAGAAACAAAUUGUAUGUAUUUUAUAUUUAUUGUGCAGUAUAGAGUUAGAACUGUGUGGGACAGCUCAUGUAACGAACAUGAUCUGGUGAUGUAUCUCUGAUUUUGGGAUCUGUAUUUUUUUCUAUUAAAUUUAUAGUUUAGCAGUUUUCAAGAUACGGUAGUUUUUAUAUGAUAAGUACAUCCAGUUUUAAUUGGAUACCCUUUAUUAGCAACAGUCCUUUUGGAAUAGGAUUUGUUUCGGCAUAAAUCUGAAAGUUCAACUUGAAACAGCAGCUCAUGAUAGUGUUUUCUCUCUCAACAAAACACUAACCCGACGCUUCAUGUGCAAGGAAUUUGAAGCGGCUAGGUGAGGCACUCAAGGGAUGUGUCUCGCCGGUCACGUGACCUGUUAUGUAAAAUGACUCUCGGCAACAGAUAUCUCAGCCCUUGCAUCAUCAAUGAAGACCGUAGCAAAAUGUGAUACUUAUGUGAAUUGCAAAAUUCCGUGAGCCAGCGAAAUGCGGAUUUGCUUAGCACUACCAUCUGCAUGAAGUUGAAAAUUAAACAAGAACUGCUCAAGAUAACCUAAUUUCUUAUGUGUUGAGCCGGAGUUAAUCACCAUACAUUAAUAUUUGAUUGUGAUUUGUUUGUCUGCAGCAGGGUUUUGUUUAGUUGUGUGAUGACCUGUGUCUUAUCGAGCCUUUUAUGAGCAACUAAGUCUCCACUGGUUUUUGAAUUCCUUAAGUUUAAAUAUAGUUCUUAAAUUUUUUAUGUCUAGGUGUUGAUUCGUUUGUGUUCUUUCCUUUUUAGCAUGUAAGACUGGUUGAGGAUUAAAAUCGCAAGUGUACACGAAAGACAUGCAACAGAUGUGAGGUAAGAUAUCUAAAUACCUGAAGGAGAUCCUUGAUACUUUAGACUGCGUUUUAUGUCUAGUUUCUUUCUUACUUCUCAGCUAUCGUAUUUAGUCUUGGGUUGUGUUAUUUGGAAGUGACGUGGUUAUUCAUUCGAGGAUUGAUUCCAUUCCCUUCUACUUGCAUUUGUUUGUGUUCAUUGCUAUCAAACAACUUUCUUACUUUUCCUACUUAUUUGUGUUUCUCAUAGGCUUGGGAUGCGUUCUGGGUUUAUAAGAGUAUUAGAGGCACUUGAAUUUGGGGAGAAUUUGACUUUUACUGUGGUUGGUUGUAAAAGCAGUGGCUGUCUUGUGAAUUUUGGAUAUGAUCUUAUACUCUUUACUGGUCUGAUCAUCUUAUUGAUUGCUAUAUUUCUCAAUUUUAAUCCCUUAAUGAUCUUCUUCAAUCUGAGAAGCUUGUUAAUUUGGUCUUAUAAUAUAAUUUUUCUGGACUUGAUCACCAAACAUAAAGGUUGCAUUGCCAACCUGUUUCUCUCCAUCAGUACUUGGAAUUGUUUCUUGUAACACCGUUUUGUAAUCUCUUAAGAUAGAUAUUAGUUUUCUUGAUUUAAUUCUCCAAGCUUUCUCUUGUCCUCUACAGGGAGAUAAUGGAUGUGUGUCAUAUGUUUGGGAAACAUGGAAAUCCUGAAACUUUAGAUUUUUUUUAUCUUUUGCAUUCAUUAUUUUUUUUUCUAAUUAUUCUUUGGAUAAUCUUGCAGAGUGGGAUUUCAUGCCUAAUUGUAACAGGCAAAAGAGUUUAAGCAGGAUUCCGGUUGAGGAUUAAAAAACAUAAAUUUGAAUAUAGUUCUUGUUUGAUUAAUGAAAUCUAUCAAAUCUAGCUGUUUGAUCUGUGAUUAUGUUGAUUCCUUUCCAGCACAUUAAAGGUUAAUAAUAAUACAAUGGUCAGUGAAGAUGUCUCCCUUUUAUUUGAAACUUUGUACAUUGAGCAUAUUUUUCGAGACUGAUAUGUGAGGUAGGAUGUUGAAACAGUAGCCAGGGAUCUGUGAAGCUUUAGGUUUUGUUACCCUAAUAUUUGUUAUGUCUUUAUUUGUGAAUGACUAAACUUCUUGUUUGGAUUCUAAGUUUUGGUUGGUUUCACUGCUAACCCUGUAGUGUGACUGGCAACAGGUUUAUAAAAUGUUAACUUCUCUUAAAUCAUUUCUUUCAGCUUUUGGGUCAUGUUUUUUUUUAAAUUCUUAGUGAUUUGAAUUUCUAACAACUUAUAUGAAGUACUGGAUCAAUAGUGAAAAAAAAGAUACGGAAAAAUAUCGUGGCCAUUAAUAGUUUGUGUUUGUUGUCCUGUUUCUCUGUUGUCAGUGAACUCUGCUUCUUUC
rnacentral:lncRNA from 1 species